rnacentral:sRNA from 1 species
GUCAUUGUUUUAUAAAGUCAGACAUUUGUGUUUGAAAUACAUUCUUUGAAGUUAUGCUUUUUAAUGCCAUUCAGAACUUUGGGAGAGAAUGUUUCUGUUUUUUGUAUUGAGUUUUAUAAAGACGGGUUUGGAUUUAGCUUGUGACAUGAAGGAAAUUACAAUGAACUCAUUCCUUUCAAAACUGUAUACACACACACACACAAAUCAUUCUUUCUCCAUAUAUCUCAUUCAUUGACUUGUUUGUUUUGUUGUAUGGUGAUGCUAGAGAUCAAAUGUGCUGUUCAAAUCUGUGUGUAACAUAAAACUAAGAUUGUGUAACUUGAAACUAAGAUUGUGUAAUGAAACUAAGAUUGUGUAAUAUGAAACAAAGAUUGUGAAUGUGUCUCCUGCAUCUUUUGUUUGAACUAUUUAUUGAAACAUUUCAAUGUUUGUUCUACUCACUCUGUACAUCCUAUUCAGAUUCCAGUUUCUUUGAGUUCCUGUUGAAUGGUUCACUCUACAAUGUACAAGUUAAUCAUUCAAACAAUGUGAGCAUCUUGAGGUUCUCUCUCUCUCUUUUUUUUUUUUUUAUAAAGGACCGGCAUGAUGCAGCAUGCUGUGGGGGCGGGGCGGGUAGGUGUUUAAGUUACUUCACAUCAUACAGAUUAAGUAAUACACUUUAAUUUUGUACUUUCCAUCAAAAUAUCAAAGAAGAAAUUGUAUAGUUACUGUUAGCAUUCAAAUAGUUGGAGAGACGGGGGUUCUAAUGUCCUCUUAGGAUAGAGACCAUAUUGUUUCCUUUUUGUGUCACUUAGAGAUGGAGGGACUCCUAUACAUGGAGCAUUAAGAAAUAAAUGAAACCAAAAACUCUAUCCAAGUUGUGUGUAUAUUCAAUUAUUUAUUAAAAUUGUGUUAGUCUGUGUUAACCUGCUGUCGUUCCCAAAUACAAAUCAAUGGAAGGAUUCAAAAUAAAAAAGAAAUAAUUUGUG